rnacentral:lncRNA from 1 species
GUGAGUAUUAAAUAAAAUAGAAAAAAGGUGUCCACAAUAUAUGAAUCAGAAUACUAGAGCUUCUGCAUUGACAAGCCUUUGAUAAAGAUGCCCACAAGUUAAUGUCAAGAAAUUUUUAGAGGCUGAAAAGAUGGCUCAGCAGUUAAGAACAUUGUCUUACUGUGUCUUAUUGUUUUAUUGCUGUGAAGAAACACCAUGACCAUAGCAACUCUUAGAGGAAAACGUUUAAUUGAGGCUGGCUUACUUACAGUUCAGAGGUUUAGUCCAGUAUUGUCACAAUGGGAAACACAGUAGCAGGCAGGCAAGCAGGCAGGCAGGCAGGCAGACGUGGUGCUGGAGAGGUAGCUCAGAGUCUGACAUUUGAUCAGAAAGCAACAAAUAGAAAAGAGACACACUAGGCCUGGCUUGAGCUUCUAAGACCUCAAAGCCCAGGCCCAGUGACACAGUUCCUCAGUAACGCCAACCACACCCACUCCAACAAGGCCACACCUAUGAGCCGACAGAACCAUUUUCAUUCACACCACCACGGGUCUAAAGGACCCCUGGUUCUAUUGCCAGCACACAUGGUGGCUCACAACUGCUUGUAACUCCAAUCCCAGGGGAUCCAACACCCUCUUCUGAGGCCUACAAAGACAUGGUGCAUAGACACAAAUACAGGCAAGAUACCUAUACACAUUAAAAAUGUUAACAUAAGGAAAACAAACAAAAAGAAAAAGAAAGCCAGGCGUGACUGCAAAAACUGCUGAAGAUGGCAGAUCUCAAGUUGGCCAGCCCAGGCUAGACAGCAGCCUCUAUCUCUAAUUAAUGUAAGUUUUUUUUUAACGACUCAUUUAUUUAUUAUAUGUAAGUACACUGUAGCUGUCUUCAGACACUCCAGAAGAGGGCAUCAGAUUUCGUUAUAGAUGGUUGUGAGCCACCAUGUGGUUGCUGGGAUUUGAACUCGGGACCUUUGGAAGGGCAGUCGGCGCUCUUAAUCACUGAGCCAUCUCUCCAGCCCUAAUGUACGUUUUAAAGACAUUUUGAGGAUGGGAAGACGCCUUUGCCAGUCAAAGCACUUGAACGUAAGUUGGAGCUCCAGAGCUCAUGUUUUUUGUUUUGUUUUGAAGAUUAAUUUAUUAUAUGUAAGUACACUGUAGCUGUCUUCAGACACUCCAGAAGAGGGAGUCAGAUCUCGUUAUGGAUGGUUGUGAGCCACCAUGUAGUUGCUGGGAUUUGAACUCCGGACCUUCGGAAGAGCAGUUGGGUGCUCUUACCCACUGAGCCAUCUCACCAGCCCCUGGAGCCCAUGUUAAAAAGGCACAGCACACACUUACAAUCCCACAGAUGGGAGAGCCUGGGAGUGAGGAGGUAGGAAGGUCCCUGGAAGCUCAAAGGUCAGCCAGCCUGAGUAAGGCAUCAAGCGCUUGUGACUCCAGAGACUGAGACAGGGACCCCAAGGUAAAGCCUUGCAACUCUGCACAGGGUCUUCCCCCCUACUUACCCCUCCUCUCCCAAAGUACCAGAUUACUAGAACAUUACUGCUAAGUUCUACAAAAAUGUAUGGACCGGAAAACGUCUAGUUCAUACAAAAAUUGAUCCCAAUGCAUUAAAAAAAAAAAAGGUUGGCUGAUUCCACAAAACUGUCAUAUUCAUGGUAACACAGUC